rnacentral:rRNA from 1 species
UACGUAGGGUGCAAGCGUUGUCCGGAAUUAUUGGGCGUAAAGAGCUCGUAGGCGGUUUGUCGCGUCUGCUGUGAAAACCCGGGGCUCAACCCCGGGCCUGCAUUCGAUACGGGCAGACUAGAGUUCGGUAGGGGAGUCUGGAAUUCCUGGUGUAGCGGUGAAAUGCGCAGAUAUCAGGAGGAACACCGGUGGCGAAGGCGGGACUCUGGGCCGAUACUGACGCUGAGGAGCGAAAGCGUGGGGAGCAAACAGG